CAUUAAGAGCUGCAGGACACCUGACCUCGAGGACCAGGAUUGCCCCCCCCUGCUCUAGAGGACCAGUCCUUCAAAGAGUUGUUGAUGCUGAUGGCUGUGAGCAGGAAGGACCUCCUGUAGCAGUCUGUGUUACAGCCUCUGACUGAAGACACCGUUUUUCUGAUGAAGAGGACGCUCAGAGUUGGUCAUACUCUUUCUUAAUGGACAUUAUUGUGUUUAUGUUUGAAUGUUUCCUAUUUGAUUAAAGUAAUGAUUGUUUUUUUUUCUCAUAUGUAAUUUCAGGUGACAAUUUGAAAGUCGUACAGAAAUGUCGUCUGGCUGAAGAUGUCAGACCUCAAAGCAGAAGCCCAAGAGGAUCAGGUGAACUGAGAUCUAUUCAGAUUCUGAGGAAAAGCCACAGAUCCAGAAAAUCUCCCCUAUGACCAGCAGCCACAGCCUCCCACCUGUCCUCCACCUUCACUCCCACCUGUCCUCCACCUUCACUCCCACCUGUCCUCCACCAGCUGCUCUGUGUUCACCUGUAGCUGUUUAGUCACACCGGUAACUCCACUAACCGAC